CCUAUGCCACGGUUUACCUCCAGAAGCAUGAGGCUUGCAGGGAAACAAAGGAAAAGUGAAAUAAUAGAACAGGAAAUGAAUACUGUGUACCCAGACAGCCAUAAACCUUCAGCUGCAGACCACUGACAGAAGUCUGUAGACCACCAGUUUGGGAAACCUCUGCUUUAAACUCUAAAUGAUUCAACAUUUGUUCCCUCUGAUGACACCGCGAAUCUGGGAAUGAAGAACUUCUUAGAGCUGAUUGGAAAUGGCAUUGCGGAGCUGAAACUUAACUGGAGGAAAUAUAUCUCCUGAAGAAGAAAAUAUAAUGCACUGUAAGGAUCUGUCUUCUGGUGAAAAAUUCAAGCCUAGAGAAAACUUGUCCGCUUUGUUAGGAAGAAUGGGUUGGACAAUUUUCUUCAAUUCCAAAGGAUAUCUGAAUGCCAUGCUGAGCUUAAUCUCUGCAGCAUGCUCUGUGCUUCUCAUCUCUUCCUGAUGCACUGCAUGGUUAUCCUGAAGGGAAGGAUAAAGAAACUGGCCACCAAGAUGGUAAUCACUAGUGGAAAUGAAGAAGAUAAAGGCAGUCAAGAAAAGGAAAGCAAAGAAGAAACCAUCUUGGCAAUGCUUGGAAUUAUUGGGACAAUUCUGAACCUCAUUGUGAUCAUUUUUGUGUAUAUUUACACAACGUUGUAAACUAGAAGGCAUGCAAAUAGACCAGAUAAAAUGGCCAUUAAGAGUGACAACAAACAUUGCUGACUAUUGACAAGUUCUUUAAUCAGAAUUGACUCUGUAUUAUAUUAACACAUCAUAAAAGCACUGCCUGCAGGCAACGAAGACUGAAGCACAAUUAAUUUAACAAGACUUUUUCACACAGUAAUAAGCUUAAUUCUUCUCUCCUGCCCUCUCCCUUUCGGUUUGGUUUUCAGUUUGGGGGAGAAUGACUGCAGUUAUAUAAGUUGUAGCUUUGAAGAAAUCCACCAGGGAUAUGUUGUUUUAACACAAUUUAAAAAAAAAGAAAAAAAAAAAGAAAGGAAAAAAAAAAAGGAAAAGAAAGAAACUGUACACUAUAUAUAAUUAGAAAUGUAUGCUGUAUACCCACAAAGAUUGAACUCAAAGAUAGCUUCAUAGCACAGAUCACGUGUCUGUUAGGUCAAAUGGAUUUUUCUCUUGGUUUUUGCUUUUACUUACAUUGAAUCUGACAAGCUUUUUAUUUAGAAUGAACAUAUGGUGCGAUCAUGAAAAAAACAAUCCCAUUGAGCAAGGUCUGCCUAAACCUGAUAAAAUGUUGGGAGAAAUACACUACAUGGUUAUUUUUCCUUUCUCAUUUGCUUAACAUCUGUGUCUGUUCAUACCAAUGUUUAUAAAUAUAUAUUUUUAAUAAAUGUGCUAUAUUUUUAGCAUGAACCAAAUAUUUGGAGACACUUGUAUUCAUGCAGCUAAAUUUUGUUUGAUGAAGUGCCCCUUUUGACAAUGGAUGUUAUUUUUCUCAGCAAUUAUACAGCAGUCUUGUUUGCAGCCCUCUCACUGUGGUCUGAAGCAAGCUCACAUCAUGCUCAUAUGCAUGACUUGAAGUUGGAAUGUCAGCUGAAAAGCAUUGCUGCUUAAUACGGGAAAUAGCAAAACAUUGUAAGGUGACCUUUGGAGACUGGUUGCAGAAAGAAGGCUCUAUUUAUAGAUAAAAAAGAAAAAGCAAAUGUAAGGAAUAUUGAGGCAUCUCACAAAAUAUUGUAAAAUUCAUAGAAUUUGUGGCUUUCAAAAUCUGGUCACGCUCUCUAAGUACUUUUGCUGAGAGAAGUGAGCAGAGGUCUAUACAGCUGAAAAGAGAAAUUUAUAGAGCCUAUAGUGAGGGGCUUAAGUGAAAUCCAGAUUGUAAAUACAGAGUGUAUUUUAAAUGUGAGGAUCGUUAACUCUUUAUGCUUCUCUGACAUGUGCUUUAACUGAGUUGGUGCAGUGAAAUUCUCUGACUUGUGUUUUUGACAGGAAUGUACAAUGAUGAUGAUCAUCAUUUUUCUUCAGAGUUCAGUACCUAUAACUAUACGAAGCAUUAAAAAUAUGAGACCUCAAUUCUGCCUCAAGCUGCCUAAGUACAUUGCCCACUAACUCUGACAUAUCCUCUUAAAAAUAGGUCAAUUAAUUGUUUACUGACUUGUGAUUUGGAUUGCGUCCUCAGAUGCACAAGGAGAGCUGGUAUUGAAGUCAGCUAGAGCUGUGAAAAUUUUGACCCUAGAGUCUCAUUAAUUUUAGCGAUCAGACCUGUCCCUCCGGAAUCAAGAAUGAGUUUUUCACCAUUUUCCAGGCUCUAGGAAUGGUCUCAAAAAUACAGACUUUCACUGCAGGAUAUAAAACCAAGCCUGGAAAAUUCUGAGGGGCACCUCUUAUAACAGAGGUGUUCAGUCUCUUGUGGUAUCGUACAGUCAAUAACAAAACCAUUAAGAGUAGAAAAAAGGUCAGUAAAUAAAUUACAAUGAAAUCCAAUAUGAAGACUGAAGGAAAGUAGAGCAAAAAUAAUCUUAUGUUAAUGAAAACAUGACAGAUGAGAGAGGUGAGAAAAUGAGCAGAGAUUUGAAGCAGAAAACAGCACAGAAAGCCAGUGCCAUGCACUCCAGCAUGGCUGAGGAAACAUUUGUGUUUGCAUGGUGCUGGUAGAGCUGCAGGUCUCAGAGAAGACAAGAAACAGUAGUGGCACAUGAUAGUGUAGCUCAGUGAAGGUGAUCUUGUUUUUUAAUUUAUAGUUACUUAUUGAUAAUUUUAAGGAAUCAGAAAACUCUACUUUUUGAUCAUCCUGAUGGCUAAAAUAUAUUUUGCUCCACUAGGCAUUUUUUCUUCUGUUUAAACUAUUGCUGCUCACAGCCUGCGGCUCUGAGCACCUGCACAUGCUCCAGGCACCAGCCUAACUUCAGGCCACCCCCUGCCUGCCAGGACCUUCUCUGCAGAUAUUUCUCUUGAAUUUCUCCCCCUCCAUUUCCCAGCAAACACCACAGCAAUCUGCCUGAGGCUCGUGCUCAUCUUCUAGAGGGUCAGCCUCUGAGUCAAAAGAUGAGCUCUCAUGCCAGAUACUUCUUUGUCUCCCUCUGCAUCAAAUGGUAGUACCUGUCAUCCUCUUGUGGGCAUGAAGAUGCUUAAUGAAUCAAAUCUCAUUAAGGGCUUAUACUAAUAUUACAAAUUAAAGCUCUGCAUUGUAAAACAGCAUAGGAUACCUCACCCACUAAAGUAAAGUAGGAACUUUUGCUGCUCAUCGCAGUUGCACUUAUUCAGACACGGGCCAGCACCUUCAACAAGACAGGCACUGCAAAUAGCCCAAAUAAGCUGAAAUGGUGGAUCAAGAGCCUAAGGAUUCCAUGUUUCCUCUGCUGUACUUUGCCUGUUAGUCUUGAUGUAGGCAGUGUGUCCAGGUAUACUAUCAUCCUACCCCAGCAGCAGCCCUGUGCAGUGUGCUUUGCCACAGGACUUUUAUUCCUCUGAAAGAGGAAGAAAGGUUUAUCCCAUUCCAUAAAAAGUUUAACACUUAAUAUUUUAGCUUUACAGGUUUCUGUUCACAGAUAGUUCUAGAAAUAUCCUGGGGCAAGUUAUUCUUAAGUAGAUUCAUUAAGUAUUCAUUUAAAUAAAAAUGAAGAGUUUCCUUCGAGGGCAAUUUCUUUACCUUUUAUUUGGUAUUCAUGAACACUGAUGGGGGAAAAGUAUUUUUUCGAGAAUGACAGUGGAAGAGGAAUAUUUUAUACAAGGACCUGAAGGUGUGCCUACCCAGGAAGUUGUGGGCAGGCCUGCUCUUCGCUCAGUGACAGCUGGAGCCAAAUUACCCUCAUGCUUUUUUUUGAAUGCACCUGUAAGAACUAUUCAACUAGGUAACAUAUAUGUCAUGAAUAUAUUAUAGUCAAUAGCUGCUCUAUAAACAGUUGAAUAAAACUUCAAGAGUUGAAUUGCAAAUCUACUUUGGCAAGGAAAAAUCCAACUGUCUCAUUUUUGGCUUGACUUGUACAUAAUGCAAAUAGUUUCUAAAGUAAAUUUUAAAAAAUGGAAUGUUAGUCCAUUAGUGACAGGAACUUCCAUCUUUGCAUUUGAGUAGAAGGAAAUUAAUAUCCAAUAUCAUAAAAAGAUAUUAAAGCAUCACCUUUUGCUUCAGUCAACUAAGAAUAUGAUUACAUAUGAUAUGUAGUUUGAUGGUUUGUGUCAUGGGAAUGAAAAAUAUUUUCAUGAGGUGACAGAAAGGUGACAUUGUCCCCACUGGUAUCUGGUGUGUUGGCUGGUGGGUACAGAAGACUUUCAAGAAGGGAGAAGAUAAAAUUAUUCAUUUUACACACAACAACAUGGGGAGAAAGAAGACAAACAAGCUACUGCCCUCCUCUCUGGUUCCUACAACUGAUAUUGAAAACUUGACUCUCAGGAACCACAUCUUUAUACUGGAAUGUAUCAUCCUGUGUGUUGGCUGUCAGGGCAGUCCUUUCAGUUAUGUACCUUCUGCUCCUUCCACCUGCACCUCUGCAGCAGUGUGUGGCUCAUUGUGCCUGAGGAGAGUUUGAACACAAACCCAGCCUGGCAGCCUCUGGAAGCAGUAGUUUUGCUUUACUGUGAUGUAACAGUCUACUACGGGCCUGAGAUUUAUUAUUUUAAGGACAGUCAGUAAUCAUCAUCAUGUUACUGUCUGACAAUCUUGGGAAUACAUCACUUGUUGAAUUCCCAGAAAAAUCCCACCCCUGGCCCACAGGUAAAAUUUUGUUCAGUAGGCAUCAAAAUACGAAAGAAAGCUUCAGUUACAUCACAACCGAACUUCAGUAUGAAGCGUUGCUUAAAUCCAUGUGUCUUAUAUUUCCACUUAAUCUGUACACUGGAGCUCACCCCAAAUGCCCCAAGAUCUAAUAUGUGUCAAGAGGUCUCAUCUCUUCUGAGUCAGAACUACCAUUUCUGUGUGAAUUACGGCAUAUGCAGAGAACUUGGUCCAUAGAAGGAAAGGAUAAAAAUUAACUGAGUUAAAACUCCAGGGAGGCAGCACUGCACAAUUUACUAAUUAGUUUGAGGUUUAGCUGGAGUACUUUGUUUCUGGAUAGCCAGUAUUCUGGAGAAAAGAUGUUAUUGUUCCCUAGAAAGUUUCUGGAAGAAAUAUGUCUAAUUGAAAGAACCACAUUGAAAAUAUUUCAGCAGCAAUCUUCUGAAGAAAACACUGACCAGAACUGUGAGUGGCUUGCUUCCCAAGAGUACUGUUUGGCAGCCCAGGAACACAGUGCACAUACAUGCAAGCACCUCUUGUUUACUUAGAUGCUUUGUCUUUGGAACAGAAUGCACAGAUUUACAGAGAUUUACAAGUGUAUGAAAUAGCACAUUAUGCAACAUCAAUAACGAAGAAAUCUGUUUACCUUUAUUUCCAGCAGAUACACUGCAGGCACUCUGCAGAACCUGCACUGCUUCUAUGCCUGGCUGUGUGUUUUGGAGGCUCAUCCCAAAAGGUCUUAUAAACUCAGUGUUUCUUUCCCCACCACUGAUCCAAGAGAAACAAAACCUAUUCAAUGUGAAAACCUCCACACCAGACUGAAAUGCCACAUGCUUCCAUCUGCAUUUAUCUACAUAUGAGCCAUCUGGUAUCCAAUAAGACUUUCCUUGUCUUAGGCAUUAGGUUUGCUUAUCUGCAUUUCACCUGGGGACUCAGAGAGUGAAAGGCAAUUUGUAGAGCUGAAAGCACCCAACUGUUUCCAAUGAUCUAGCUGUACAUAAUGGAGCUGUCACCUGGAGGGUGGCUGUUCACGUGCAUAGCACACCACACACCAUCCUCCUUGUGUGGUCUCACACUGACCCAGCCUCUGUGACACCCAGGGGGUGGGGCUGGGCUGUAACUGGCCCAUAUAGCCAAAAAAGUGUGCAAGAGAGAGUGUUCUGUGCAAAAGCCUGGAUCCCAAGUCAAGCUCUGUGGAGUGAAAGGACAUUCUGCCUUGUUCACAGAAAGGCACAUAGCUGUGUCCACCGGGACCCUUCUGCAACCUGUCCCAGUUCAGCUGAAGGUGACCCAUGCACCACACUGACCCUCUUGUGGCAGCUGCAGAACUUCCUUCCCCUGAGGGAAGUAAACAGCUCUGGACUUUCCUGAUCUCCUAGAACAGGGAGCAAAGUGACUUUUGCACGGCAGAAAUAGCAGCAGGACCAUCCAUUUCUGGCUGACAAUGACAAAGCCACCUGUCUAGAGUGCUGAUGGGAACCCUUUUCCCACCCAUCAUUCCUCAUACUCUGGGAAAUGCAAGUUAAUUACCUGGACUCCAGGUUCUUCUCCACAGGCUCAGUCACCAUUUAGACUCAGGCAGAUUUCUUUCAUGAUGCUGAGACUUUGUUGAACUCAAAUGGCUCCUGGAGCCAGGUCUGCAGGAACAUAUCAAAUAUCGUGUUACCUUAAUCUGGCCUCGGUAUCGUGAAGGUGUCAUUGUAACAAGUCUUGGGCAUUGUCCAUCUCUGCCAACAAGGUGUUAAGGGAAAAGCAUUAGCAAGGGACACCAUAUGGGAGCCAUGGGCAGCCAGAGGUAAUGCACAGGGGCUGCUUUCCCCAGCACUUACCCUCCUGAGGAGCAGUGGUGUUAUGGUGGAUUGAUAUUGGUGGUGGGUAAAUGUAAUAAAAUGUUUGUGUAGCAGGGUGUGAUUUCUCACCUUUACUUCCUGCAAAAUUAAUGGGAAAGGCUUUAUAAAGAAUUCUGGCUUUGUCAACUUAAAAUAUGGAUUAAAAUUUACUAUAUAUGUUUUCAAAUUUUAA